CACCGAUGACAGCUGAAGCGUUAAUUUGUACCCAAAAUUGGCUCCGAAACUCUCCAAAACUUGUCCUUGAGGAACUCAUCGAGGAAUUGGAGAAGUUGGAAUUAGAAGUUGCACCCACUCGUGAUCCCAAUGAAGAAGAUUCUGGUGUUGAGUCUGAUUAAAGUACAUCUUGUUAAGUUGUUAUGGUUGGUUUACAUUAUGAAGUUAGCUAUUUUGUUGGAGAAGACACCAUAACUUUGCUA